rnacentral:tRNA from 1 species
UCCUGGAUGGCUCAGUUGGUUAAGCGUCUGACUUUGGCUCAGGUCAUGAUCUCACGGUUCAUGAGUUCUAGCCCCAUUUCGGGCU